rnacentral:tRNA from 1 species
GACCCCAUAGCUCAGCAGGAUAGAGCAACGGUUUCCUAAACCGUAGGCCGCUGGUUCGAAUCCAGCUGGGGUCACCA